ensembl:lncRNA MIR9-2HG MIR9-2 host gene
AGGGAGCAAGUGCCUGGCAUGGGGGGUAAAAGUUGGCUUUUUUUUUACUCCUUGGUCUUUUGCGCCCUUCUCCCUCUCCCCAGAAGGGAAGACCCAUUUAAACUAUUUUAGACGCAAUCAACCAAGAAUCACCAUGUGGAAUUGAGCGGCAGUUUUAAAUGUGUUGAGCAGGGGAGAGGAAUGAUGAGAAAAACAUUUUUUUUUUUUUUUUUGGAGACGCCGAAAGAAGCCUGUUUGUGUGCUGCGGCCGUGCUGUGACUUUGGAUCUUGUCUUUCAGCCGGCGCCUCGGUUCCUGCCCAGCUGGAUUUGGGGGGCAGCAUUGCCUGGCGCAGGGAGAUCAAAUGAGACUGCAAAGAAGCAUAAAAUGAAUAGACAAUCCAACCAACCAAAGGUAAUUUUAAAAUUUACAUUUGAUAAAAUCCAAGUGAUGUACAAAAUAGAGUAUUAUUUACUAGGCGGUAGGCAUGCAGUGGGUUGCAUAUCUCCUAAUUCAUGCUCUAAGUUUCUAUAUGUGCAGCCUUCUCCUCUACAGGGAGCCUUUGUAUAUUAUAUAUCAAGCAUAAUACAAAUAUAACCUGUAACUGCCUAUAAAAAAGAAAUUCAAGAUACAGAGUAAAUAAUAGAAUACUUUUGUUAGAAAGUAAGCCAGUCAGGUACCUUGCCUGAACUAUACAAAUCACUGUAAAUUAAAUGGCUUUUAUGUAGAAAAUGGUAGUCUUGACUGUACUAGUGCACUGUGGUUUACAUGCAUUUGAAUCAUACAAACCAAAUAUUAAAAGGGGAUUUCAGUGAUAGGCCAGUUCUUCAUGUGCUUUGCAGUAAUCUGAAUAGGAUUCAGAGGUGUUCUAAAUAUGGUGACAAACCUAAUGUAUUUGAAUUUAUGAAAUAGCAUAAUUCUGAUCCAAAUAAUGUGGAAAACGUAACUUUUCACUUUUAACUGAAAUAGAGAUUGUCUACUCCCAGGUAAACCAGAAUGUUUCAAUUCAUGUUUCAGCCAUCUGGAGAUCUAUAAAAAGAUUAGAAAACAAGCAUGACAAUCACGUCCUAAUCUACUGGCCAUUAAUGGGAAUUUAUUAGUGAAUGAGCAGGCAAACCAUUUAAAUUCAGUAUAUCCUUCAGAAUGCAGAUUUCAAAACUGGUAUUCUGCUCAGCUUAAUAGCUAUUUGAAAGCAAAAAUAUCUGAUAUAACAUGUAGGUGUUAAUAGUUGCUCUUAAUAUGUGACAGACAUUGCUAGGAAUCUUUAGGGCUACACAAUUGUUUCAACUUGUCUCACAUCCUAUAUAAUAAUACAGUCUUUGAAAUAUGUAUAAACCAUCAUAUAAACCUUGGCAAUAUUCAAAAUAAUCAGAUGCUCUGUGUUAAGCCUUACUGUGUAGUUUUUAUUUCUGCAUAUCCUGAGAGAUGGUGGAGAGUAAAAUAUUUAGUUGGCUAUCUGGCUAAUGAACAGACUGCUCAUAAUCCUAAUGUUGGUUCCUUUCACUUAUUGGGACUCCCAUGAUGAGUCUAUGUUAUAUAUGCCAGACAUGGGGACCAGGCCCGGAGUCCAGUUGAUAUGACUAUGUGGCAUUGCCCUAGAAGAUGCUGUUUUAAGACAGUAUCUUCUAUAGCUUUUAAUUGUAAAAGCAUCUCAAAUGUUCAGUGUCUUGGCUUUCAUGAUGGAUACUUUGGUUCUAAAAAUGCAUUUAGUUGCUAAGUGUGGAAAUAUAGCCAUGUUACUUUGCAAAUUCACACAGAUAUGGGGGUGAUAAACAUGCACAGACAAAUGCAUGACAUCUCUUUGCUUCCACCAGCCCCCACCCAAGUAUAUAUAAAGCAAAAAGAUAUUCUAAAAAUACCUGUCAUCUGACCACAUGCUUGCUUUAUGUAAUACAUGCCAAAUCACUAAUGAUUCUGCAUCUGUGUCUUGGAAAGCAAGGCCACAAUACUCUCACUCUUCCAAGGCGGCAGAGCUCAUUAGUGUUUUAUGUAAUGUCUAAGGUGGAAUGUGCCUCAGUGAUGUGUUACAUUUUUAUUUAGUAGUGUAUGUUGUGACCAGCUAGUUCGAGAAGGAACAGUAACUUCAUGGAGGUGUGUUUCUCUGAGUUAGUUUUUGGUUUGCUUGUGCAUUUUAUGUAUAACCCAAUGCAGCCAUUUCUGAUUGUACCUCUUGUACCAUAAUUUGGUAAGAAAAAUAGAUGAACAAUUUCAACAGCUUAGUCUUUUCUAAAUAAUCAGUACUGGAAUGUUCACCAAAAAAAGUAAAUAAAUAAAAAA